GGCUCAGACUCAGUCGUAACAGGUACCGUAGAGUUUGAUCCUGGCUGAACUUGUCUGGAAAACUGCCUGAUGGAAGGGGAUAACUACUGGAAACGGUAGCUAAUACCGCAUAACGUCGCAAGACCAAAGAGGGGGACCUUCGGGCCUCUUGCCAUCGGAUGUGCCCAGAUGGGAUUAGCUUGUUGGUGGGGUAACGGCUCACCAAGGCGACGAUCCCUAGCUGGUCUGAGAGGAUGACCAGCCACACUGGAACUGAGACACGGUCCAGACUCCUACGGGAGGCAGCAGUGGGGAAUAUUGCACAAUGGGCGCAAGCCUGAUGCAGCCAUGCCGCGUGUAUGAAGAAGGCCUUCGGGUUGUAAAGUACUUUCAGCGGGGAGGAAGGGAGUAAAGUUAAUACCUUUGCUCAUUGACGUUACCCGCAGAAGAAGCACCGGCUAACUCCGUGCCAGCAGCCGCGGUAAUACGGAGGGUGCAAGCGUUAAUCGGAAUUACUGGGCGUAAAGCGCACGCAGGCGGUUUGUUAAGUCAGAUGUGAAAUCCCCGGGCUCAACCUGGGAACUGCAUCUGAUACUGGCAAGCUUGAGUCUCGUAGAGGGGGGUAGAAUUCCAGGUGUAGCGGUGAAUGCGUAGAGAUCUGGAGGAAUACCGGUGGCGAAGGCGGCCCCCUGGACGAAGACUGACGCUCAGGUGCGAAAGCGUGGGGGAGCAAACAGGAUUAGAUACCCUG
rnacentral:rRNA from 1 species